UUGCUUGGGCAGCACAUAGACUAAAAUCGGAAUAAUACAGAGAAGAUUAGCAUGGCCCCUGUGCAAUGACGAUGCACAAAUUUGUGAAGCGUUCCAUAUUUUU
ensembl:snRNA U6 U6 spliceosomal RNA